UUUUAUGGAGAGUUUGAUCCUGGCUCAGGAUGAACGCUGGCGGCGUGCCUAAUACAUGCAAGUCGAGCGAACGGACGAGAAGCUUGCUUCUCUGAUGUUAGCGGCGGACGGGUGAGUAACACGUGGAUAACCUACCUAUAAGACUGGGAUAACUUCGGGAAACCGGAGCUAAUACCGGAUAAUAUUUUGAACCGCAUGGUUCAAAAGUGAAAGACGGUCUUGCUGUCACUUAUAGAUGGAUCCGCGCUGCAUUAGCUAGUUGGUAAGGUAACGGCUUACCAAGGCAACGAUGCAUAGCCGACCUGAGAGGGUGAUCGGCCACACUGGAACUGAGACACGGUCCAGACUCCUACGGGAGGCAGCAGUAGGGAAUCUUCCGCAAUGGGCGAAAGCCUGACGGAGCAACGCCGCGUGAGUGAUGAAGGUCUUCGGAUCGUAAAACUCUGUUAUUAGGGAAGAACAUAUGUGUAAGUAACUGUGCACAUCUUGACGGUACCUAAUCAGAAAGCCACGGCUAACUACGUGCCAGCAGCCGCGGUAAUACGUAGGUGGCAAGCGUUAUCCGGAAUUAUUGGGCGUAAAGCGCGCGUAGGCGGUUUUUUAAGUCUGAUGUGAAAGCCCACGGCUCAACCGUGGAGGGUCAUUGGAAACUGGAAAACUUGAGUGCAGAAGAGGAAAGUGGAAUUCCAUGUGUAGCGGUGAAAUGCGCAGAGAUAUGGAGGAACACCAGUGGCGAAGGCGACUUUCUGGUCUGUAACUGACGCUGAUGUGCGAAAGCGUGGGGAUCAAACAGGAUUAGAUACCCUGGUAGUCCACGCCGUAAACGAUGAGUGCUAAGUGUUAGGGGGUUUCCGCCCCUUAGUGCUGCAGCUAACGCAUUAAGCACUCCGCCUGGGGAGUACGACCGCAAGGUUGAAACUCAAAGGAAUUGACGGGGACCCGCACAAGCGGUGGAGCAUGUGGUUUAAUUCGAAGCAACGCGAAGAACCUUACCAAAUCUUGACAUCCUUUGACAACUCUAGAGAUAGAGCCUUCCCCUUCGGGGGACAAAGUGACAGGUGGUGCAUGGUUGUCGUCAGCUCGUGUCGUGAGAUGUUGGGUUAAGUCCCGCAACGAGCGCAACCCUUAAGCUUAGUUGCCAUCAUUAAGUUGGGCACUCUAAG
rnacentral:rRNA from 1 species